GAUGAACGCUGGCGGCGUGCCUAAUACAUGCAAGUCGAGCGAACAGACGAGGAGCUUGCUCCUCUGACGUUAGCGGCGGACGGGUGAGUAACACGUGGAUCACCUACCUAUAAGACUGGGAUAACUUCGGGAAACCGGAGCUAAUACCGGAUAAUAUAUUGAACCGCAUGGUUCAAUAGUGAAAGACGGUGUUUCUGUCACUUAUAGAUGGAUCCGCGCCGCAUUAGCUAGUUGGGAAGGUAACGGCUUACCAAGGCAACGAUGCGUAGCCGACGGCAGAGGGUGAUAGCCCACCCUAGAACUUGGCCACGCACCUGAGUACUACGGGAGGCAGCAGUCGGGAAUCUUCCGCAAUGGGCGAAAGCCUGACGGAGCAACGCCGAGUGAGUGAUGAAGGUCUUCGGAUCGUAAAACUCUGUUAUUAGUGAAGAACAAAUGUGUAAGUAACUAUGCACGUCUUGACGGUAACUAAUCAGAAAGCCACGGCUAACUACGUG
rnacentral:rRNA from 1 species